GGUUUCUUGGCGCAGUUGGUUAGCGCGUCUCCUUAACAAUUCUGGUCAGUUCAGAUCGUUAGGGCUUACGGAGGAGGUCGCCGGUUCGAACCCGGCAGAAAUCA
rfam:Pseudozyma hubeiensis SY62 DNA, scaffold: PHS57.